GCUACAGUUCCAGAGCUCUCUAAGGAAGACCCAGGCAACAUGGUCUCAAAAGCAAUAUAGAAGUGGUUGACAUACAGCCUACAUUCCACUACACACCUUAUAUCUUUAACCCUGUGCCCUGAUUCCUGAGAGCAGUUUAUUGUUGUUACAGCCCCACAUGUGUGUCUGUGCCAAGGACCCAUAGCAAUGACCUGCAAAGCAACACAAUUCCUUGGGUACAAUAAUGGCUCUUACAUCUUAAGAAUAAACAACAUUCAUCUAAUCAAACAUAAUUACAAAAGGAGUGGCUGAAUUUCUGACUUCCUGUGCUAACAUUUCCACCUGGAACUUAUCCACUGCAGAGUCCUAAGGAGAAGCCCAAAGUUGUCACUUAGCUCAUCAGUAAGCUGCAUAACUUUGUUAUCAGAAUGACUCAAGACAUUGACCAGUUCUCUCCUCAACCCCUGUACCACCCCCUUCACAUACAUGUGCACACACAAAUAGAACAAAAACAUUCCCCAGAAGUCCUCACUACUGACACAGUUGUGUCAGUAUAUAAUUUACCAACUCAGGAAUGAUAGUACUUAUAAUGUAUUCAUU